rnacentral:rRNA from 1 species
AAUGAACGUUGGCGGCGUGGAUUAGGCAUGCAAGUCGUGCGAUAACCCCGCAAGGGGGGAAAGCGGCGAAAGGGAGAGUAACGCGUGGGUACCUGCCCCUUGGUCCGGAAUAGCUGCGGGAAACUGCAGGUAAUGCCGGAUAAUAUCCUCGGAUCAAAGGUGUGAUUCCGCCGAGGGAGGGGCCCGCGUUCUAUUAGCUAGUUGGUAGGGUAAUGGCCUACCAAGGCGACGAUGGAUACCGGGUGUGAGAGCAUGACACGGCUCACUGGGACUGAGACACUGCCCAGACGCCUACGGGUGGCUGCAGUCGAGCAUCUUCGGAAAGGGGCGCAAGCCUGACCGAGCGACGCCGCGUGCGGGAUGAAGGCCUUCGGGUUGUAAACCGCUGUCGUAGAGGAGGAAAUGCCAUGGGGUUCUCUCCAUGGUUUGACCUAUUCUAGGAGGAAGGACGGGCUAAGUUCGUGCCAGCCGCCGCGGUAA